rnacentral:lncRNA from 1 species
GAAAAUGCAACAUGAGGUAGACAAAUAAUCCACAGACUUCAUAUUAAUGAUUUUGACACAUUAUUAUAUCAGCCAAUGGAUUACCCUCAAUUUUCAAAUCUGAAUCAAAAUGUAGGGGGAAAAAACAGACUUGUAUAUAGCCAUUGGUUAAGUAAUGAACGAUAAAUUUGUGAAUUUGAAUGACUAACUUCAAUGCUCUGUGAUCAAAGUAAAGAUAAUUUCUUGGUAAUUCAUUGC